rnacentral:rRNA from 1 species
UACAGAGGGUGCGAGCGUUAAUCGGAAUUACUGGGCGUAAAGCGCGCGUAGGCGGCUUCGCAAGUCGGGUGUGAAAUCCCCAGGCUUAACCUGGGAACUGCAUUCGAGACUGCGUUGCUAGAGUAUGGGAGAGGGAAGUGGAAUUUCCGGUGUAGCGGUGAAAUGCGUAGAUAUCGGAAGGAACAUCAGUGGCGAAAGCGACUUCCUGGACCAAUACUGACGCUCAUGUGCGAAAGCGUGGGGAGCAAAC